rnacentral:rRNA from 1 species
UCGCACCUACCGAUUGAAUGGUCCGGUGAAGCCUCGGGAUUGUGAGCGGUGGCUUUAUUGUUGCCGAUUGCGAGAACUUGUCUAAACCUUAUCAUUUAGAGGAAGGUG